AACGAACGCUGGCGGCAGGCUUAACACAUGCAAGUCGAACGGGUGCAGCAAUGCAUCAGUGGCAGACGGGUGAGUAACACGUGGGAACCUUCCUAGGGGUACGGAACAACUCAGGGAAACUUGAGCUAAUACCGUAUACGUCCGUGAGGAGAAAGAUUUAUCGCCCUUAGACGGGCCCGCGUCGGAUUAGCUAGUUGGUGGGGUAACGGCCUACCAAGGCGACGAUCCGUAGCUGAUCUUAGAGGAUGAUCAGCCACACUGGGACUGAGACACGGCCCAGACUCCGACGGGAGGCAGCAGUGGGGAAUCUUGGACAAUGGGCGCAAGCCUGAUCCAGCCAUGCCGCGUGAGUGAAGAAGGUCUUCGGAUUGUAAAGCUCUUUUGCCAGGGACGAUAAUGACGGUACCUGGCGAAUAAGCCCCGGCAAACUUCGUGCCAGCAGCCGCCGUAACAC
rnacentral:rRNA from 1 species